ACCUCUAAAGUCUAGAAUUAUAUUUCUCUACAUAUCUCUACGACUCCCCCCACAAACGAAAAAAUUUAGAAUAUAUCAGUUAUAUUGCUAAUAUGGCGUCUCCAACCAAUAGAAUUAUCUCUCUCGAUUCACCCGUCUCAUCAUAGUUAAUAAAAAAAUAUUCUUAUUAUACUUUUUACUAAAAAAAAAGAUAUGAUCAAUUUGUUACUGGUGAUACAGCGCAAGUGUGAUACUACAGACUUCCUCUCCACAAACGCCGAACACGAAGGCGGAACUCGCGAGCGUGCAGACUGUUCAUGAAGUUGGAGUUUGCAGCUUAUUCAUUCGCCUGCCAGCUGUCUAAAUUUCAAGGAGGUGCGAGUUUCAAGCAUGUUUGGAUUGAAAUUUUUUNAUUUUUUUUUUUUGAGAAAUAGGUAGCACGCUACCCGCUUCGUUUAUUUCAUUUAGAAAUAAACUUAGCUAGAAAUGUGAAUCAACUAGGAUUCGAACUUGGGUUUCAGGUACCAACCAUCGAGCCUUUUGCCACUUGCUCUAGGGACGGUCGGUGAUUGGAAAAAUUUUAAGAUGGGAAAAUCGAGUUUUAAUCAAUGUUUUAGAAACUGAAUGAAAAUGCAUUCCGAGAAAUGUUACUGAUUCAAGAGUCUCGCUCGUCCAACUAGUAAGUCAACCACUCGUUGAAUCAGCGACGUCAAUAUGAUAUUAUAAAUAUUUAUUUUUAGGCUGAAUUUAGCGUAUUUGGAGUAUUUAAAAAUUAAUUUUUUUAUUUUUUCGCUAUCAUUUACUUAGUGAUUGAAAAGAUUUAACAUUAAUGGUUAAAUUUUUUUUUACAGGAAGGGAUGAUACAUCACAAUUUUUUUAUCAAUGAUAUUAAUCUUGCUGUAUAUUAUUGUUAUUAUUAUUAUUAUUAUUUUAAGCAGGUGAAUUUUAAUAUAACGUGAUAAAAAAAGACCUGAUUGGUUUGAUUAAAAUCAGACUGGUUCAUCGGUUCGAUGAUUGACCAACUAGUUCGAAUGAUUCAAAAUAAUUUUUUGAUUUAUUCAGUUCGAAGAGUUGAACUAAGCCACUUUAUAGAAUGGAUCAUGGUCGGACUGAACGUCCCAACUUGUUCGAUCUGAUUUUUAAAUUAUUAAUUUUAGUGUAAGUCAAAACUUUCAUUGUUUGUUUUCAUGGAAGUAGGACAAAUAAUGAAACUAUAAUUUCACCAAUCUCUUAAUUAAUUUGAUGUAAGAUGAUUUACUGUGAGUGGAGACGAGUCAAGUUACUUCAUAACUAAAAAUUAAUAAAAGAAAAUCCAUAAUAGUAAUCCACCACAGAAGUUAUCAACAUUACGUGAAGCAAAGCGAAACUAAUUACAACUGCAAAAUAAAUUUUUCUGUAGUAAUUACCAGACAAACUAUGUCAACCAUAGAAAUAUCAUAAGAAAUAGAGAUGAACUCAAAAACUGUUAAAAGGUCGGAGAUUUAGGAUUACCUCUGGUACCACUGUAUCUAUAAAAGAUUGGUCGAGUAAGAAAAGCACUAAACUUUAGUGUUAGGGUUAAUUGCAUAUACGCCUCUACAAACAUAAUGAAUUACAGAUAUAUUCCUGCAAAGCUUAACUUUCAUAAGUUAUUCCUUCAAGAGUCCUAAUGUAUUCAGAUAUGUCCCUCUGGUUUAGAUCCGUCGGAGAGCUGUUUAUCGUAAAAUGAUAGUUUUGCCCUCACAAAUAUGUCCAUCCAAAAGCUCCAGCUGGUAUUUUGCAGAAACGUCCUGACAAAUAUGUCCCUUUUCCUCUUUCUCUUGCUUCAUGGGUUGCGGGCGCGGGCGACGGCGGCGACGUCACGGAGCCUGUUGGAGUUACGGCCGAUAAUGACAAGGGUGAGCCCUGCUGCAGCGAGACGGAAGGCGAAGGUGUGGCCAACGCCAGGGAGGGUGCGGGAGUCGGCGAUGACGAGGUGGCCUUGGUGCGGGCGAGGGCGCGGAGGGCGCCGGUCGACGGGGACAAUGAGGCAGCAAUGACGAUCUAGCGUUUGGAGCGAAAGGUGGUGUAGUGAUCGGAACCGCAGUGGGGCCGGAUGGGCGGGACGGACGAGCGGAAGGAGGCAACCUCACCGCGCUCCACACCCUCAGCCUCCGCUUCAACACCCUCUUCGGCGCUCUCCCCAGUGACCUCGCUACGCUCUCGAAGCUCCGCAACCUCUACCUCCAGCGCAGCCGCCUCUCGGGCGAGAUCCCCGCCGUGAUCUUCGCCCUCCCCAAGCUCGUGCACCACAACCUCGCCAGAAACAACUUCUCCGGCGAGAUCUCCACGGCGUUCAACAACCUCACCCGCCUCGGCACCCUCUACCUCGAGGAGAACCAGCUCUCGGCCCAGUUGAUCCUGGGGUAGGGGGCGCAGCUGCCGGCGGUUCGCGAAGCUGAGCGGGUCUUGUCGAGGCCUGCCGGAGAAAUUCGGUCUUCCUUCUCCACCGCGAUCGCAAGCCGCAUCUCCUCCCUCGCCGGCGACAACGACGACCAUUUUAAGAAGCAGAAGAGGAAGAUGAAGAGGAAGAAUGGUAAAAUUAUCGAUUCACCUUAUUAAUUAAUUAUGAUUAAGUAUUUUAACUAUGGUUAAUGAAAUUUUUCUUACGGACCCUAACGACAGGGACAUAUCUGAAUACAUUAGGGGCGCGUUUGUUUCGAAAUCGGAAUCAGAAUCGGAAUCGGAAUUAAAAUAAGCUAGAAUCGGGAUAGGAAUGACUCAUUACUUAAUUCUAUUUGGUUCAUUAUCUGCAUCGGAAUCUAUCUGAAUUGGAAUCGGAAUAAAUCAUUCGUACUGUUGAUGUUUGGUUCAGGUAGAUAUAAAAAAAGUAAUCAAAUUAAUAUAUUAACUUUUUCUUUAUAAUAUAUUAAUUUAAAUUUAAAUUGAAAAUUAAAUAUUAAAAAUUUAUAUCAAAAUUUUGAAAUAAUGUCAAAAUUUUAAAUCUAUUUUUUUUAAAAAAAAUUAAACUUUGAAGUUGAGUGGAUAAUUCAAAAUAUAAAACUAAAUUUCGAUUUAUUCAAAUUCAAACUUAAAAUUAUAAUUUUAAUUUUAAUUUGAAUCCAUAAAUUUAAUUUAAGUUUUAAAUAAAAUUUGAAUAAAACUUUAUAUAAAUUAAAAUUUAAUUUAAAUUCAAAUUUAUAAGUUAGAUUCAAAAUACUUAAUUAAAUUUUAAUUUAAAUUCAAAUUAAAUUUUAAAUUAUAUUUAAUUUCUAAAUUUAAACUCAUAUUUUAAUUAAAAAAAUUAAAAAAUAAAUUUAAUCCGAAUAAAUAUUCAUUCCGUCCGGAUUCAACUUUCAAUCCGGCUUAGGAGAUCGGAUUGGAAAAAGAAAUGAUUGGAAGAUUCCCAUUCCACUUGGGAAUUAGAAUCAAAAUGAGACUCUCGCAUACCAAAUAUUCACAAACAGAUUUACCCAUUCCGAUUCCGAUUCGUGAAAAAAAAUGAACCAAACUAGCCCUAGGACUUUUGCAGGGAUAACUUAUAAAAGUUGAGCUUUACAGGAAUGUAUCUGCAAUUCAUCAUGUUUGUAGAAACGUAUAUGCAAUUAACCCGUCGGUUAAUACCCAUCACUAUUCACUAAGAAGGGAAACAAAAUUGAGGAGUCUUUUUCAAAUUCUCUUAUUAUUGAGGGGCCUCCGUGCAUUUUUACCUGCGUACGACACCCUCUUCAUCUCCUCAUGUUGUCUCUCACCGCGCCCCCAAAAACCCUCCAAACCCUCAACAAUGGCGACCGUCUCCCUCCUCUGCCUCUCCCCACAACUGCACCACCCCCUCCUCCUCCGAAGCCCUAACCCUAACCCUAACUUCCUCCUUCCCUACCAAUCCCCCAACGGCCGAUCCUUGAUCCCCCUCAAAUCAACGCCCAGGACCAUCAUCUCCUCUUCCUUCUCCUCCUCCCCCGUCCCCGCCUCCGAUCGCCUCCUCUCUGCCCUCGCCUACUCCCUCCCCCUCCUCAACUCCCUCCACUACGGCCGCUUCCUCCUCGCCCGCUCCGUCGCCUUCUUCGCCCUCUACCUCGGUGUCGCCCGGAACCCUAGCCUCGCCCGCUUCGUCCGCUUCAACGCCAUGCAGGCCGUGGUCCUCGACGUGCUCCUCGCCCUCCCCGCCCUCGCCCACCGCGUCCUCGGCGGCGCCGCGCCCGCGCGCGGGCUCGGGUUCCGCGCCCUCGUGCUCGGGUACGACAUCAUCUUCGUCGCCGCCGCCGCGUCCUUUUUGUACAGCGUUCUCAGCUGCGUUCUCGGCCGCACGCCCUAUCUUCCGCUCGUAGCCUCCGCCGCCGACCGGCAGCUGUAAAGGUACGAUUUUUCGGGAUCGCAAACCCUAGAAUUGAUCAAUGUUGGCAUGUUUGAUGCUAAAUUUGGGAGCUUUUUGAAGUUUCAGGUACAAAGAGAGAAGAGGAAGAGACUUCGAGAGAUUAGAGUUGGAAUUGUAUGCGAUUUUAACUCUGUAAGUAUGUUAAUCUUGUUAAAUUUAUUGCUGUUGUUGUUGUUGUUGUGGCAAAAAGAUAGUUUCAUAUGCAAGUUGGUAUUAUUGCUUCUCUUGAAGAAAUGAUCAAGUUUUGUUGUUCUUUGUUCCCUUUUAGAAGCUGGAAUUUUGAUCUUCUUUGUUCCCUUUUAGAAGCAGAAAUUUUCUUUUAAGGUUGAGUUAAGAGUUAAGACUUGAUUUCGGAGUUCGAAUCAUGGUUGAGGAGUUUAUACUCCCUUUUCACUAAUAUGGAUGUGAUUGUUGGUUGUUCAUAGUUUCUGUGUUUAAAUUGAGAAUUAAGAACUAGUUAUAUGCAUUGUGAUACGGAUUACGGACAAUCGACACAGCAUUUAAGUAUGAGACGGUGUAGUUUCCAUUAUUUGUUUAUAUAGUCAACAAUGUGACUAUAUAGAAAACAAGAAUGCUAAGUAAUAGAGAAAACACAUUACAUCGUAUGUUUGUUCAUUUGGUAUUUGCUUUAAUAUAGGCCUAUAAGGUUGAACACGAAUUAUACCAACACAUGUAUUUUAUACAUGUUCGAUGUAUGAUCCUUAUUCAGUAUGAAAAUUGAUAACAUCUCAUGUGGAGACCCCCUCCCCCCCUAAUCAGUUGUCUUACAGUUGUAAAUUCAUUUUCUUGUAAUACAUAGCCAAAGAGGUAUGUUUUGUAAACAAUUAUGCUAGGCAUGUGAUAUUGAUUUUGCUUCUAAAUGUAACUCAAAUUGUAGCUAUUCUUUUUUCUGCAUUGUUGUAUGCUUUUAUGCUAGACGUAAGUGGAUACAUAGUUUGCCAAUUUGAGUACAUUGGUCAUUUUUAGCUAUUUAGCUAUUUGUUGAUGAAUCUGCCUCAAAAUAGUCGAGGUGACUUUGGAACUUUGUCACAGCACUUUGUGUUUGUCUGUGUGUUCAUGUUUUUCUUUUAAUAAGAACUCGGAAUCUACAUCUACAUCAUUGAAUGCGGCAUUGGUACUAGAUUUUUUGUAGUCUAUAUAUCUAUGGGCUUUAUAAACAGAGAUGCGCAUGAAGUGGCGCAUUCAAUUGCAUAGAACAUAAGUUAAACAAACUUAAAUAAUUUGUAGUGCUUUAGCUUAAAACACGAGGUUAUCUUUAUAUUCUUGCUUCAUUCUGUGGAAACCUGAAAGAUGAGAGUUUCUGAUUCAACAUAGACUUUAGAAACAAGUCUUCAACUCAUCUGAAUAAUUAGUUUAUGAGUGAACGUGGAUCACAAUUUCUUUUCAGUAGUCAAAGCCAAUCACUUGAGCUAAUAAUUAGUUUGUAAAAUCUCCAAAAUUCUUAGUUUUCUCAUAAACAUGUUUGGAUUGGUGUAACGCAAGUGUGAGAAGUGAAAUUUCAGCGUAAGUGAUCACUUUCUGUAUUUGUUCGAUGUAAGUGUCAAAAAGUAGUGUAAAUGAAGUUAUAUUUUCUUGUCGCUUUUUGAUAAAAAUUAUUACAAUAUUAUUUUCUUAAGUUAUUUGUCAAAAAUUUAUGUAUUAAGAUUAGGUGGUUUAUGGUAAAAAAAAACAAAUACCGACAACAUCGAAAUAUCACUUGCGACAUAACUAUUUUCCAGUAAAACAAAAUAUUACUUUUGGAUAAGCUACUUUGAUCAAACUUGAUUUUCACUCGAACCAUAAUUACGACGGUAUUUGACAUUCGUCGAUCCAAAUAUGACUGAUCUUGUUUCUUUGGACAUGUAUAUUCGACAAGAGGAAUGAAAUGAAUAAACUAGUUUCUUGUUUUUUUUCUUUUUUUUUUCUUUUUUUUGCAUUGGAUGCUUCCAUUUGAUGUUCUUUAUUGUGUCUGGUUAAAGUGCUUUUCAUGUGAAAUUUAGGGGUUCUUGGAUUCCAGUAAUUUUGCUCUCGAGGAAGAUAUUACUAUACUCUUAUGGCCGCGUUUGGUUUGGGUAUAUAUAACUAAAAAAUUGCUUAUUUUAGGAAUAGCUAUAAGUUCAGGUAUAAGUAAGACCUAGGCCAAUUUUGCGUAUGAAAGAAAAUUGGAUUGUUCCUAGGAAUAAAAUAAAUAGUGUGUGGAUGGUUAUAUUAGAACAAAAGAAAUAAGAGUUAUAAUUUUAAAUUAAAAAUUAUUUUAUCUAAUUAAUUAACAUCAAAAUAUUACUUAAAAAUAAUUUAAAUUAAUGCUGAUCAAUAUAAAUAUUAGUUUAUGGAUAAAUACAUUAAAUUACUAUAUAAAUAAUAAAUUAAUUAAUUAUUUUACUAUUUAAGCAAUAAAUGAUAAUUUANCUUAAAAAUAAUUUAAUAUAUUAAUAAAUUUAUUAGCUAGGAAUAUUGUAUAAGAUAAUAAAAAUAUAUUUAUUAAUUAAUUAAAUAUACAAAAUAAUUUAACUUUUUAAUUAGUUAGUAAAUUAUUUUAGCUAGAUAAGUAGUAAAAAAAAUUAAUUAGAUUAAUAGAAAUAUUAAUGCUGAUCAAUAUAAAUAUUAGUUUAUGGAUAAAUACAUUAAAUUACUAUAUAAAUAAUAAAUUAAUUAAUUAUUUUACUAUUUAAGCAAUAAAUGAUAAUUUAAAUAUAUUAAUUAGAUUAAUUAAUAAUUUAAUAUCAUAAUUAAAAUUAAAUUUAGAUUUUAAUUAACUUUGUUUCCACCUGGGAACAAUCUUGUUACGGAAAAAAGGGUGAAACAACCGUUUCAGCUUUAUAUCAGAUUAUUUUAGAAACUCGAAAACUAUUAUUCUCGGGUAUCAAACACAACGUUUGGGAACAAAAGGAGGAACAAGAGUUUAUUCCCCGCCUUGUUCCUGAACCAAACAAUGUCUUAUGAGUAUAGAUCUUUUUGUACUCAUGAAUUUUCGACCGUUAGAUCUAUUUUUUUGACUAUUUUCACUCAUUAGAUCAUACUAUUCAAUCAACCAUUUAUUUAACCCUAGGGGACCAUUAUUAUUUUAAUAAGAGACUAUUAUUAUCUUAAUCGCAUAUUCCUUCAUCAAACGGUCGAAAAUUUAUGAAUAUAAAGGGGUUUAUAGUCAUAAGAGUAUAGUAGGUCUAGUAGAAGAUGCAUGUGUGAAAUUUAAUUAUACUGAAAAUGAGAGCAACUUUUAUAUAGUUGAUUUAGAGACAAUUUGGUAUUUGAGAAUUAUCUAACGCUAUUUAGCAAAAUAAAAUGAGGAGGAAAGGCCAUGGAAGAGAGAUGUUUCUGAGACCAUAAAAAAACCUUAAAAACCUUAUUACAAUAUGUCUAAUAUAAUAUUACGUACGAAAAUAAAAAAAUUUAUUUCGGCGUAUUUUUUUUAUGGGAAAACUUCAAAAACCUCCCCUGUGGUUUCCAACUUUCUCACUUUAGUACCCCGUGAUUUAAAGUGUAUCAAUUUGCCCCCCUGUGGUUUUGUUUUUAUUUUUUCUAUAGUUUUUUUCUUAAUAUUUCGUUAAAUUAUAUGCAAAAAAACAUCAGAUAUCCAUCUAGAUUUACCGAAUAUUUACUUUAGUACUCUUUAAUUUUAAUUUUGUUGCUGAUUUGAGAAAAAAAAAUAAUAAAAUUGAUAAAAAAAAGAAAAAAACGAAACCACAGGGGGGCAAAUUGAUACACUUUAAACCACAGGGUACUAAAGUGAGAAAGCUGGAAACCAGGGGGGGGUUUUGAAGUUAUCCCUUUUUUUAUUGCACAUAACACUAUCUCUUUGGACUAUCAUGCCUUGAAAGUUAUGAUAUUUUAUUAAUUAAAUAAUUAUUUAACUUUCGUGUUAGAUAAAAGAUCAUGAUUGAUAAUGUGGGGGCCAAACAUAUCUAUUUUAAGAACUUUUUUAAACUCCCUCCUAUAAUAUUUUAAUAAAAAAUAAUAAUAAUGCGAAACACUAUAAAAAUAUUUUAAAGUUUUUGUUCAAAAAUAAAUUUUUUUUAAAAAUAUUAUUUUACUAUAAAACUAUUGUACUGUGAUCAAUUUGGCCGGUAUAUUUUAGGCCGCAUAACUAAAUUCUUUUAUUAAAAAGCUUCAGCGGCUAAAUUGCUAUAUCGCUAAAAUACAUGGGCCAUUCGCAUAUAUCACCGAAGCAGAUAUUUUUCAACAAUUCGCCCCCAUCUUUCCCACAAAUUACAACCCUACCCCUCGAAAAGCGGAAACCUCACGACAAGCCCACGUACACGGCGACGACGACCGCGGCGGCGUAGGCGCCCACCGCCCUCGCCACGACCCCGGGCCCGGCGCGCGCCGCCGCCCCGGCUCCGGCGAUCGCCGCGGCUCCGGCGGCGGCGCNCCGCGCCGCCGCCCCCGCCGCGCCCGCGAGCACGGCGGCGCCGAAGAGCUCCGCCGCGAAGUCCCCGAACUCGUCGCGGUCGAGGCCCCGCGCCUCCACCUCCGCCGCCGCCGCGGCGCCGCGGACGGCGCGGCGGAGCGCGGCGUCGACGCGGGCGCGGGAGGGCGGGGAGGCCGAGGCCCAGCGGCGGACGAGGGGCAGGGAGGCGGAGAGGUCGGCGUGGAGGAGUUGGGCCGCGCGCGGGAGCUGGUGCGGGAGCACGCCCGGGAACGCGCCCGCGGCCUCGGCGCGGCACCGCGCGAACGCCCCGUCGCACGCCGCGGCGAACUCCGGCGACGCGCGGAGCGCCUCCUCCACCCUCUUCGACGGGCUCUGCCCCAUUCCUUUUCCCUUUUCCUUUUCUUUUUUUUUUUGGUUUUGUCGAGAGAGAGAGAGAGAGAGAGAGAGAGAGAGAGAGAGUAGGGAUGUAAAUGGGUGUGAAUACCCGAAAUUUUAUUCGAAUCCAACCCCGAAUGAAACGGAUGUUUUCGAUACUAAACAUAUAUAGAUUCGGAUAUGGAUAUUAAAAAUAGAAAUUCGAUGGAAAUGGAUUUGAAUAUAAAUUUUGACUGUACCCGACUCAAACCCGAAUCCGACCUGAAUCCCAAUUUAUUUUGUAUUUUAUAUAUAUAUAUAUAUAUAUAUAUNNNAAAAAAUGAAAUAUUGAAAAAAGAAAUAAUUGUUUCAGAUUCAAAUUUUCGGGUUCGGAUUCGGAUUUUGGAUUUUUGGUCGGGUUCGUGUUUGGAUAUGAAUUUUUAAAAUUUGUUGGGUUCGGAUUUGAAUCUCGGGUUUGAAGUCGGGUUCAGAUUCGGAUUUUUGAAAAUCCGCCCUUAAUCUGACACAUUGACGUCAGAGAGAGAGAGAAAUACCUUUUGUUUUGGUGUAUAGUAGUGUAAAUUACACUUUGAUCCUCAAACUAUGACUUGGUGACGCUUUGGUUCUUAGAUUUUAAUCCAUUGUAAUUUUUGGCUCGAACUGUUAAGUGUCAUAACUCAGUUUAUGGUAAACUUCAAAUACCACCCAUAUGAUUUCACACUUUUUCACUUUAGUACCCUGUGUUUUAAAGUGUAUCAAGUUAGUGUCUUGUGGUUUUUUUUUAAUCUUUUCGUAGCUUUUUUGGUUAUUAUUUUAUUAAAUUAUAUACAAAAAAAUUUCAGAUAUUCUACUUAGGUUGAUCGAAUAUUCACUUUAAUACUCUUUAGUUUUAACUUUGUCACUAAUUUAAUAAAAAAAAAUUAGUAGAAUUAAUAAUAAAAAGAUAAAAAUAAAAUCACAUUCACUAAAUUGAUAUGUUUUAAACCAUUGGAUACUAAAGUGAGAAUAUGUGAAACUAUAGGGGUGAUAUUUGAAAAUUUUCCUUCAAUUUAGUUUAAGCUUAACGUGAUGUUAUUGACGGAACUGAAUUUUUUAAAUAAAUUCAAUAUAUUUUAUCACUAUUUUAGUAAUCGAAUUUUUCAGGAUUCUAAAAAUUUAACCACUAUUUUACUAGUUGAAUUUGACCAAAUUCACUGAAUUCAAUAUAAUCCUAAUUAAUAUUUUUUUUGUUAAUAUCAUCACUUCUCUAGGCUUAUCAGUAUAAUCCUAAUUUGAGUUAGUCAACGAUAUUUUAACUUCAAAAUUUGAAUGUGUUAUUUAUCUUUACAGAUUUUGUUAGUAUACUUUGUGUAAUUCUUGUAAUUAUAAAUUAAUUAAAGUAAGUAAUUAGUUUAAAUUUUGAGCUUAAAAUAUUGCUGACCGACUAAAAUCAAACAAAUUGAAAAGCUAAAUAGUAAAAAUCAAAAUUUUGAAGAAUUAAAUAUCUAACUCAAAAUAGUAUAUAGUUCACAUAAGUUUUGUACAUUUUUACCAUAUCAAAUUAAGGAAUAAUUGCCUAUAUACCCAUCAAUAUUUAAUUUACCCCUACUUUUUUUUUUCUUUCUAAAAUACCUUUCAUAUGUUUCAUCGUUAUUGCAAAAUACCCCCGCAGUUAUCUCCUGUUAAGUUAACUUGGGUUAAACGUGAGUUAAACAUCUACCACAAUUAAAAAAAAUUAAAAUGUCAAUUUUACCCUUAACUUAAGGGCAAAUAAGAAAUGUUGGUGACGGUAGAGGGGUAUAUUGGAAAAGGCCAAAGGUCAAAAUACUUUUUGUGCUCCUGACUUUAAGGGCAAAUAAGAAAGUCAGUGAUGGUGGAAGGGUAUAUUUGAAAGGGCAAAAUAGUAAUUUUACAGAGUUAACAAAGUUAAUUAACAGAUUUUAACUCUAGAAAUAUAUAAAAUAGGUUGGAACGUAAAGAGGGUAUUUUCAAUAUUAGUCUUCUAAGAAGGAUAAAUUGGAAAGUCGGAAACUUUUCAGAGGUAUAUAAGCAAUUGCCCCUAAAAUUAAAGCAGAGCUAUUAAAGGUAACUAAGGACACAUUAGUAGGGCAACGGGUCGGAUUCGGAGCGAAUUUUUAAAACCUCAACCUGAAUCUAACUACUAGAAUCAAAAUCCGAAUCCGAACCCGUCGGAUUUUAAAAAUUCAUAAACAAAAUCGAACCUCACAAAAAAGAACCAAAUCUGAAACCAAAUCAGAAAACGCAAACCUCAAUGCAAUCAUUUCCCUUUACCAAAUUUUAAGUUAUGUUAUAGUCAAAUCUAAAAUUUUGAAGUACAAAUUCAAAUUUCUAAAUGAAAUCGUUUUGGGUAGGAAUUCGGGUUCAGAUUUGGUUUCGAAUAGGGUACAGAUAAAAAUCAUACCCAAACAUAAGUUUAUCGAAUUCUCGGUUUUUAUAUAAAUAACCGAAACAAUACCUGUUUAGCAUCUAUUAAAUCCGUCGAAUUCGAAUUCUGAUUCAAAUAAAAUUUCUGAUAUAGGGUUAUGGGUGUUGAUCUACUUCUCCUAAGGCUUAUAUUUAUAUAUAUAUAUAUAUAUUUUAGGUAUAUUAGAUUAUAUGUAAAUGUAGCUCUCAUACCUACCAUGUGAACCUCCUCCAUAUAAAUACGUAUCCGAUAAACAUAUAAUAAUAAUACAUGGGGGUAAAAUUGUAUUCAUAGUCCCUAUACUAUUGCUAUAUUGCGAGUUCGUCCGUCACUGUACUUUACACUAAAACAAUUUAGCCCUUAAUGUUUCACAUAAUAAUGUUAAAAAAAAAUUGAUUUGUUUUGUAAAACAUCUUCCCUAAUUUAUUUUGGAUUUGACUAACAAAGUCGCGAUAAAAUGGUCAUUUCAGAAAAAAAUAAAUAAAUAAAUAAACUUUUUGACUAUACGAGAGCCUCUCAUUUUGGCGGUUUGUAAUAUUUUGAAAAAAUUCAUAUAUUUUUACAUUCAAAAUGAACUUAUCUAUUUUUUUAAAUAAAAUACUUAUGAUUUUUAUUAAGUAUAGAAAAAGCCAAAACACCCUAACCCAUGAAACUUUUCUUAUUGAAUUGCCCGAUGAUAAUUGAUAUGACAUAAUAAAAAUAUGGGGGCUUUUCAAAAUAUUAAAAAAAAAAACUUCUUAUGUGUAGUGCAAUAUUUGAGUAAAUUAGAUAAAAGAACAAAGUUGCAAUAUAGGGAGAGUAUAGGGACUAUUCAUAAAUUUUACCAUGCACUCAUACAUUUAAACCCACGUCUCACUCCACAUCAUUUUAGAGAGAGAGAGAGAGAGAGAGAAUGGAGGGAUCACUCAUUAUUAUUAUUAUUUGCUUCUUCUUCCUUGUUUCCUUGCUCAGUAGUUUCUCCUCCCAAGCUCAUUCGCAGCAGCAACCGUCCGAUUCCUGCCGCGCGAAUCUCAAAGCAGUGGCCCAUCUGAUCCCCUUCGACACCUCCUCCCUCCGCUGCUUCCCGGCAUGGAGAGAGGAGGACAUCAUAAUCUGGGUACGCGCGCAUUUCACUAUUAUGUACUCUUUUCAACUUCUACAACAACUUCUCUGUACUGUACUAUACUGAGAAUUAAGCAGAAGCAUCUAAAACGACACAUUUGGCGAGUAAAAGUUCAGAACUUCUGCUGCUGUGGCAAAAAGUCGGAUGGUUUUAAAGUAAUAGUACUAGUUAGAUUAAAAACGCCAAAGUUUUUUUUAAAUUUUUUUUUUUUAAAUAAUUAUUACUAUUCGUUACAAUAAAAUCUGAUCUUUUUCAACUUGGCCGGUGUAUGUAUAUAUAUAUAUGUUUUAAAGUUUGCGAAAACGGGGCCGGGCCGAUGGAGCUACGUGGUGUCGGCCCCGAACACGGGCUCGUACGUCGCGGUGGGGUUCUCGGCCGACGGGGGGAUGGUCGGGUCCGCCGCCGCGUCCGGAUAUUACCUGUCGGAGCACCGGGAUGCGGUGUCGAUGACCGUCGACUAUACUAACGGUAUAUAUAUUGUGAGCACAUGUUGUNGCCGAGAACGCCUCGGUAAUCGUGUCCGGGGAUUCGCGGCUGUACCUGGCGUUCCAGAUUCGCGCGCGCCGGCCGCAGCCCUACCUGAUCUACUCGGUCGGGCCGAGGAACGGCCUGCCGUCCGCCGCGUCCGGAUAUUACCUGUCGGAGCACCGGGAUGCGGUGUCGAUGACCGUCGACUAUACUAACGGUAUAUAUAUUGUGAGCACAUGUUGUACUGAUCGAUAUUAAAAUGAAUAUAUAUAUAUAUAUAUAUAUAUAUAUGUAUAGUUGAGUCGGAAUACUAUCGGUAGCAAACGGGCUCAUUGCCACCCAUUUGUUUUCGAUGAUGGAGCCUCCAAAUCGACGAUCGGCACCGUUGAAAAUGAUCUAUACCACUUGAAGUAUCUAGAAAUCAAAUUUCAUACUUUUUCGAUAUUGUUUUCUUGUCCAUCAAGUGGGCGUAAAAAUGAAUUGCUGAAAAUGAAUAUCCUCUAAAAAGUGAUGAUAGAAAUUUUGUAAUCAUGAUCAAGAGUAUAAAUCUUGUUCUAAAUAGUUUAAAAAAUUUUCUAACCAAAAUUCAAUUGAUUUGGAUAGCUUUACACCGUUAAACGAGAAAACCCUUCAUAUCAAUCAUUAAAAUUACUAAUUUUGAAAUCCUUUAAUCAUUAGGUAAAUGAUGUCGAAAAGAUUUGAAAUUUAAUUUCUAAAUACUUUAAGUGAUAUAGAUCAUAUUCAACGGUGCCGAUCGUCGAUUUGAAAGCUCCAUUAUCGAAAACAAAUGGGUGGCAACGGAGCCCAUUUGCUAUCGAUAGCAUUCCAGCUCAACUCUAUAUAUAUAUAAAAAAGAUUAAUAAAGAUCUGUCCUGGAUUGUUUGAAUAGAGCAUCAAAGCAUACACACAUUUAUUUUUUUAUUAAUUUAUUUACAUUAGACCUAAAAUUAAAGAAAAGUGGGAUCCAACUAACACAGCAAAAUAUAAGAAAAUCUAGCAACUUUGAAGGGAGCAGAAAAUUAAUUUCAAGCUACUGCUUCUUACUUCCACAUGAAGUUACUAUAAACUUAUAUUGAAAAAGUGUUUUCUGUAAAAUUUUUUGUAACUACUUAUUCCAACAGUUUUACACAGAUAGUACCAAAAAUUAAAAUGCCCAUUGGUAUGAACUGUAUCCACCGUGUUGUAUUGUGCCAGUAAAAUAUCGACACGAUACGGUCCCCGUGUCGAUGGAACAACUUAAAAUCUUCUAUUAUUGAAAUUAGUAAGUAAUUUUCUUAACAAAGUUCAAAAGAUUUGAUAAAAGUAUAUAGUAAAUAAUUGACAUAUUUUGUUGCUAAAAAAAAUAAAUAUUUCAUAUCAUUACGUGUCGGCACGCACCGUGCCGGCCAGUUUCCAGCACGACUCCAUGCCACAGCACUUUAAUUCUUGAAUAGUACGCAUUUCUACGGAAAUUGGAUGGAUUUUAAGAAACCUUUUUUCGGCUUUUAUGGGUUCCAGGGUUGGUCUCGGUCCCCCGCGGGGGCUCCGGGUUCUCAUCAGCGCGGUGGCACGGGCUGCUCGUACUUCUGGGAUGGAACGUGCUGAUGCCAGUUGGAGUAAUGGCGGCCCGGUACUUCAGGCAAUACGAUCCGCACUGGUUCUACAGCCACUUCUUGAUCCAAGGGAUCGGGUUCCUGUUGGGUCUAGCCGGGAUCGUAAUCGGGUUCGGUCUCGACGGUUCCGGGGUGAAUAAUGUGGACGCACACAAGGCUCUGGGGAUUGCCAUCUUAGCCCUUGGUUCCCUUCAGGUAUGUAUAGCAUUUUGGGGCUUUUGCUUAGAUACCCCUCAUUACUAUUCGUAAUUUUAUUUAUCCUUUUAUUACCAAAAUACUCCUCUAGAACCUAAAGUUUAUUAGUAAAAUCAUAGGGUUAGGGGUCUAUUGGAAGGAAUUUUUAGAAAUCAAUAAUGACAUUUUGGUACGCUAAAAAUAUAUUAGAUCUUUCGGAAGUUUUGAAGGAUAUGUUAGGUAAAAACCUAACUUACAAGUUAAAAUCUAAGUUAAAGACCAAAUGAUAAGAACCUACGCAACUUGAUCUAUAAAUUAUUUUAUUCAAUCUUUUAAAAAUUUUAGUUUUACUAUCUAAUUUUUUAAUUUAUUUAUGCCAGCUAAGGUUACUUUGACUUCAAAAUUCAAGUUAAUUAUUUGUUUUAAUAAAUUUAUAGUUGCGAGAAUUGUAUGAAGUACACUAAUUAACCCUAUAAAGAUAAACGACGUAUUCAAAUUUUGAAAUCAAAAUGUCGUUGACCGGCUAAAAUUGAACAAAUUGAAAGAUUGAAUAGUAAAAUUAAAACAUUUAAAAAAGGUCAAUAGUUCAGAUAAAUUCUGUACAUUUUCAUCAAACAAAAUAUGAGAAUAGAGACCAACGAAGGUUCUAGUUAUAUCUUUUUAAUUGGAAAAAGUAAACUAGAUCUCCCUAAACCUUGGCCCGAUUAUACUUAGCCAAAUUUCAUGUUUAACCUCUCUAUUUUGAUUGUUAAGAUGCAUGGAGUCGUCAUUUGAUCUAUAUAUAUAUAUAAGCAUCAAUUAUUACGAAGUGAGGUUCCUUUUACUUCUUUUUGAAAGUUUGGAUAGCGAAGUGUAACCGAACUAAAGUUCGGAGAGUCGGAACGAUGCGCAUUUCUUGCAUUUGCAGGUGAUGACGCUCCUCGCUCGCCCCGACAGAGCAUCGAAGGCGAGGAAGUACUGGAACUGGUGCCACCACUGGGUCGGGAGGGCGGUGAUCGCGCUGGCGAUCGGGAACAUAUUCUUCGGGCUGGCGAUCGCACGCGAGAUCAGCUCGUGGAGCAUCGCGCACCGCAUCUUCCUAGCAGUUUCGGCCGUCACUUCCGUAUUCUUGGAGGUUAGGAAGCGUACGAGCGACAAGUAAGAUGUACCAUGAUCGGCCAGCGGAGACUCCGUUGUUACGGUUUGUUGUAGAAAAUGUAGUUUGAUUGUCCAUUCUUUCUACUGUUUAUGUGAUUGUUUUGAGUGCUAAAUCAAUCACAGCAGAUCAAAGUCGAACCGCGAACAGCGACCGAGCCACUAGGCCGAUUCGGCUCAACCCAUAAAACUGAAAAGCUUUAAAAACCCGUGUUGACGUGUUUGAUCUGAUAUCAUAUCAGUAUAGGUAGACCUGGCAAACACGUGGGUUGAGUAAUCACAGACGGAUCACUAUACCCGCGAGUCUGAUGGAUAUGAAUAAAAUUUACUCAUAAAUGUUUACAUAAUUUACAUCUUCAUCCAUACCCACCCACAAGCAGGUGGGCAAUUGAAUCUGCGGAUUACCGGCAACUUUUUAUCUUUCUUUUUUACUCCUAUAUUUUCUAAAUGCAAAACUAGAGAUGUCAACGGGUCGGAUUCGGGACGAAUUUUUAAAAAUCCAAACCCGAACCCGACUCCAAACCCGAACCCGAACCCGAACUCGAACCCGACAGAUUUUAAGAAUCCAUAUCCAAACCUGAACCCGACCAAACCCGAAUCCGAACCCGAAAAUUUGAACCCGAACACUUAUUUCUUUUUUCAAUAUUUCAAAAUAUAUUAUAUUAAAUCUAAAUUUUUAAAAUACAAAUUCAAAUAUAACAUCAAAUUUUUAUAUAUAUAUAUAUUAUAGAUAAUACAAAAUAAAUUCUGAUUCGGGUCGGGUUCGGGUUCGAAUUCGGGUUGGAUACAAUCAAAAUCCAUAUCCGAAUCCAUAUCCGUCGGAUUUCUAUUUUUUAUAGCCAUAUCCGAAUCCAUAUCCAUCGAAUAUAUUCGUUUUAUUCGGGUUCGGAUUUGGAUAAAAUUUCGGAUAUCCAUACCCAUUGACAUCUCUAUGCAAAACACAUAUAUAAAAUUUUUAAAAACACAAGGCAACUCUUUACUUGAAAUAUCAUAAUAUAUAAUAAGCAAUAUAAAAUCUUAAAAAUACAUUUACAUUACAUAAUAAUAUAAUAUAAAAAUAUUUUAUCAUCCUAAAUCGUAAAUUUUUAUAAUACAAAAUUAAUAAAAUUUUUAUCAUUAUAGAGUCAAUAUUAUAAAAAUUACAUAUUUUUUUUAAUUUAAAAAAUAUAUAUGCAGGUACAAAUGGAUACCCACGGAUUGUCUAAAGUACACACCACUCAACAGAUACCCAUCCGUUUUACCCAAAAUUUUUUGGAUAAAAAAACUAAUAUCCCUACCCGCAAAUUUGCGGACCCGCUAGUACCCAAGAAUAUGAAUAGAAAUUAUCAGGUCUAGUUAUAGGCUAACAAGCUUUUAAACCGCCGCGAAACAAUAUUUUACACAACAAACUUUUCUGAUUAAAAAUGAAUCAUUUUCAUCUAAACACUAUUAUAUUAAAUGAAACAUUCAUGAAUCCCACAGGCCUAGAGAAAUAGAUGACAUACCGCAAACUAACCUACUACUACCGAGAAGCGAAACACGAUGAACUGGAACCAUGUUAAAAAGCAAGUAUGUUACAGUAACGCAAUCAUACCUAAUAGUUUGCAUCCACUCUCAUUUCCAAGUUCUAUACUUGUAUCUCUGACUCUACUUUCACAAACAGGAAAAAGAUCUAGAGGUUUUCCUGCAAUAAAACAGUCCCCUGAAAAAGGAGCAAAAAUCAAAAAGAGAAGGCCUACAAUCGAAAAGACAUGUUUUGAGAACGAAACCUACGACAUGGAGAAUCGACUUUGCAUACUCUUCAGCUUGAUCCUCAGUAUCGAUCAUGUCGCCUGCAGAGAAUGAUAUUAAGAUGUUUGGAACUAUCAUUAAAUUGAAACUGACCGAAAACAGAACAAAACUUCCGAAAGCGGCUUUACUUUUAGCCACAAAUGCAGGAGAAUGUCGUUGCCAAGAAAACAAACAAAGAUACAGGUACAGGCAUAAUUUAAUUAAAAAGAGCAGUAGUACCUGUGCCGACUGUAAUCUCUGGAUCGUUCCUGUGAACGAGAACGAGAACGUGACCUUCGUCGACUCCUAGAUUCAUAACUGUGAGCUCGAUCCCGUUCCCGAUCAUAUCCACGGUCUCUAUCGUAAUAGCGGUCGUAAUCUCUGCUCCGACGAUCAUAAUCCCUGCUCCUCUCGUGACUGCCACCUCGGCCGUCUCUAUCUCGGUCUCUGCUUCCUGCCCUGUCAUGGUCCAAACUUCUUCGUUCUUUGGACCUAAGAAUGAAGUAAAAUAGAUAUAUUUCAAAGUUUAUGGGUACUCAAAAAAGAAAUUUGCACUGUCGUAGUAUCACAUGCAUCAACAAAGUACGAGAUAGAUCAAAUGAAAACAACCUUCUGUCAUAUUCAUCUCGGUCCCUUUUCCGCCGCUUAUCUCUCUCUUCCUGGCAAAGUCAACAGAAAAAAAAAGAACAUAAAAAUUCACAUACAUAAAACAUUUUGUUCUUGAUUUGUCAUCCAAUAUAAGAUGCCAAGACACUUACACUACAUAAGACAAAGAGGGAAAAAAAAGAAGAAGAAGAAAAGCAUAACCAUAACAAACCUGAAGCUCUUUUAACUUCUCACGUAUUAGCAUAUAGCCCAUAUGAAGUUUUCCUCCAAAAUGAUCAGCCAAGCGACGAUCACUGUUUAACACAGGACAAUCAAGUAACCUCAAUCAACCAUAAAAAGGAUAUCACAUCUUUUUUAAGUUUCUACACGGUCAGGUAAAGCAUAAGACACCAUAGCAUCAACAUUGUAAUUAAUCCAGGAGCAAAGUAAUUAAUUAAAAAAAUAAAAAGACACGCACAUUCUUUAGCUGCAAAAGUAAUCCUCGUAAAACUGGGCCCAAAAGCCUGCUGGUGAAAAGGAGUAUAAUGCGGCCGUCAACAGGUGAAGUACUCAAAAUCCCAAAUACUACUAUUUUCUCGCCCUCAAAAAUUGCAGGAAACUAAGGCAAUUAAGAAAAGAGGGAAGGCACGAUGAUUUUACCUGUCAUAGACACUCAAGAAUGCCCCACAUAUGUCGCAUAAACGCAACUUUUGAUCAGUCUGCAAAAGGAUCCAAAAACCAAUCCCGAUUAUUAGGGAGCAAAAAAUAUGGAACUUAUAUAACAUAACUGCAGUAAAUACAAUUACAUACUUCUGAAAACAACUAUGCAACUGAUAUAUUUUUUUCCCCCUCCCUUAGUCCAUUUGGCGUAAAUCAUCAAAUAAUAAUAUCUUCUAUGAUCCUUAUCGAGUAUCAGUGAAUAUAAGAUUAGACAGAAAUUAAACAAGAUCUAUCUGCUUUGUACAAAUCACCAUUCACCUUCAUUCUUGCAUUCCUUCCAUAAAUGCAAGUUUCUGGUUUCUUUGAACUGUAUCAAUGGGGCAGCUAGCAGUCUACUCUUACAUAAAUCACUAGUAUUCAUGAUAAUGUAUUCUUCUUAGCUCUACACCAAUGCCAUGUACAAUGAACUAUAGGCAUGGGCAAUAACAUAAAAUGGCAGAACAAAUAUAAAAUAAGCAACAACAACAUAAAAAAUGGAACCAGUCUAAAAAAUAAAGGAAACUACAAAACACAUUGAACUCACAAUUCGCACAUCUGCAGCUGUAAACUUUGUACCAUCUGAAACAGGCUCCUGGCGUGCACCCAACUGAAUGCGUGAAAAAAAUCAAGAUACGUUAUCACUAGCAGAGCAUAUUACCAACUAUCUUUAGCUAGUUUAAAUAUAAUCUGCAUAGUUUAGCUGGUCUAGAAAGACAUCAACCUUCUUUAAAGCUUCUGCUUCUUCCAAAGCCUUUUGAGCCUCAUCUAUCAUUCCCCUUUCACCUGGCCAAAAGCAAGAGAAUCAAGAAAAAAAGACAGGAAAUCAAAUUCAAUAUAAGAUGUUAACCAACAGCAAAAAUAAAAAAUAAAAAACGCACCAUCAUGCCAACCAAAUGUUAACAAGAAGUGCAAAUCUAAUAAUGCACGAUUAGAACUAUUGACUAUAUUAAAGUAAAAACAGAUUCAUCACUUAGAAACAGUAUGUUGAGCAAAUACCAAGUUCUUCUGCCUUCUUAAGCUUCUCAUUUAUCAUUUCUUGUGUGCGUGGAUCUGGAGGAGGAAGAGCAGGUAAAGAGGCUAGCUGAGGAGGAUUUUGAAGUGGAUUUACUAUUGUAGCUCUGUCUUUGUUAAAAGCUUCAAGGAGAAGCAUAGCCUACAAAAAAAAAAGAAAAGAAGAAAAAAAAAUCAAUCAAAAUGCUAUAACUAUACAGUAGGAAUCUCAGCCAUAUAGACCAAAAGAACCCAAAAAGUCAAACAAAAAUCGUCCUCACGCUCAGAGUUCGCAAUCCAUGGAAUCAGAGAAAUUCAUGACAUGUUUGGGUUGCAAAAUAUUACCUGCUUGUCAGCUCUUUUAUUUCUAAGCUCUUCAACCUCUUCCAGGGCCCGAAUCUUACCGUCAGUUUUUCCUUCCAGAUCUGAGAAAGUAAUAUUUCAUUAGCAAAGCACCAUAUUUCGAAAGUUUAGACAGCAAGAAUACCGAAAAAUGGAGAUGAAUUAGAAUGAUCGAAUGUCAGGUUAUUUUAGAGAAAACAAAGUCUCAAGCUGCAAAUCAGAAUUACCAAAUGCUAAUGGCAUCACAACAGCUGCUCAGAUAUUUGACCAAAAUGACGGUAUAAACUAUGUGAAACUAUGAGAGGGUCAAAUAUAAAAGGAAUAAGCUCAUAACUUAAUGAAGCAUGCACACACGAGUAGAUAAAAAAGAGAAAAAAAAGAGCAGCCGCCAAAGAUACAUCAAUCAUCAAUUUUAACUAUUAUAGAUGCACCAGAAUAAGAAAUAAAACAGAGACCAAAUGAUGCUUCGAAGAUGAAAGAAUGAGAAAAAGCGUUUAACAGCCAUGAAGCACAUCUCAUCAAACAUACUAGAUUGAUGCUGAGAAUAUUAUUAUUAUCUGAAGCAGAUGACAAUGUCAAGCACUCCUAAACUAUCAGCCCCCCAUAGUUCACUUAUGCACCCUAUACAGUGAAAUUGACAAUUUAGUGUGGAGAUUGAACACAAUAAUAUAUUUCAGCAUUUGAGUUCUGCUCUAGCUAGUUUGGCUAAUUUACUUAGCUGUUUUCAUUUCUCCCAAAGGGAUUUCGUGAUAGCAUUAUUUUCAGCUAGCAAAAUUAAACCAGGCAUUGGGUCCUCUGUAGACCUUGCAAUGGCAAGAAAAAUGGCAAUUUGAAUAUACUGCAUCAUUAGCAAAAUUCCAUACGUAGCAUCAAUAGAAUAGCUAAUCAACAUAUAUGUCCACAGUUGAUAUGCUAAUAAAAGAAGCAAAAUAAUCUAAUGCAAGCAAGAAAAGUAUGACCAUAACAUAUCAAGGAAGACUACUGUAAAAAUCACUGAUACAAGUAGACAAUCCAUAAGACUCGGCUGGAAGUUACCAAAAGUAUCAGCUUCUUUGUGUUUCUCCUUGAUUUGCUUUGAGAGCUCCAUGAUUUCAGGUGUCUGUAUUUCAUGUGAAGAUUUUAUCACAAACUAAAGGCAUAUUUAGUUAACCCAGAAAAAGAGGUAGUGUAAUAAUGGGAUAACACAACAAAUACCUGAGUAACCUCAGAAACAGAUAUUGCUAUAGCAGCUUUAGCAUCUUCCUCCUCCAAACGUUUAAGGGCUCUCUGAAUUUUCCUUUCGCAUUCCCCAAUCAACCUUUCUAUCAUAUCUUCCAAUUCCCUAUCAAAGUUAUGAAUACCUUUGGCUUUUGCUUCUUCAUAUCUAUGAAGUAUUUAGGAAGAACAAAUUGUGUAUUCUACAAAAAACAUCUUUCUCUACCUAAAACAUUAAGAAACAAAAUUUCUUUCUUUGGCUAAUCAACAUAUUAAAUCAAAACCAGCUUAGGCCCUGACUAGCCAUAUCCUGAUACUUAACGAGGCAGAAAGGUGCAAGGGAAAAAAAAAAGAGUUUACAUGAGAAGAGAAAAAAUCCCUCAUUUGUCAAUCUAUAUCUAAGCUAAGUAAAAUUUAAACCAAAGAAAAUAAAUUUGAUCCGUACUACAUAAGAUCAGCUGGUUUAAAUAUAAUUAAGAAAAGGAACAAACUGACGAAAAGAAGCAUAAUAAUGAUUGUGCAAUUAACAGAAAACUGCACGUCCCUAUAUCAUCUACCAUUCCUGCUGCACAAUACAAUCCAGCAAUUUUGUCUCAAGGAACUUUAAAAUGAUAGCAUAAUAUGCAUGGCAAAAAUGAAAAAGCAUACAAGGUGACUAAUUGAUCACUUUAUUAGAAGGAUACUCUUUCCUCAGCUGCAAAGAGUGCACCUUUGGACAAGGACCCAUAUCCAUUUUCUGGGAUAUCAAAAAUAUAGAAGUCAGUUUACACACAACCAAGAGUAGUAAUUGAAAGCCUCCAACAAGAGAAACAUAAGCAGUAAAAAGUAACUAACUCACAACCAUUACGAAAGUAGAAAUUUUCGGGGAAAAAAAGGAUACAGAAAUGAACAGCUAUCAAAUAAGAUAACAAGCCACAAAAGUGAGUGUCAUAUUGGUAUUCUUCCAAUCCACAAUAAAAUAUUUAAGCAUAUGGAAAGACAUACUUAUAGGCAGCAUCACAAUUUUGAUUCACAAAUAGAUAUAAAAUUAAUAGAGUAGCCUGAAGAUUAAGAAUGCAUUCUAAUUGAUGGGAAGCUGACAUGUAUCUAAAUCUAAAAUAUGUUUAUAGCAAAGUAACUGUAGUAAUCCAAGGCUAAAAUUUGCCAAUUGAGAGAAGCAUAAGUAGCAGGCAAGUUGUAUAACCUAUACCUCAACCACAUCAGUGCUAUUGAAGUAGAAAUACAAUAAAUAAGUAGAAAAUGAUCAAUUAACUAAGUCAAACGAGCAUCAGAUUUAUAUUUUUGCCGACACAAUGAAGACAUUUAGGCAGAUUGAAAGCCGUAUUAAUAGAUAAUAGCAAAUUGGGUCUUGCAAACAAAGACUAAGGGCCUGUUUGGCCUUGAAAUAGGGUGCAAUGCUGUUUGAUGCAGCAUAUAGGGCUUUAAGAGAAGCUUCUUUCUAACACAGAAUCAAAAGCACCAAACUAAAGCUGUUUCUUUUGAGGCUCAAAAAUCUAAUUUUUGCUUUCUGCUACAGCAGAAGCUUCAGAUACUUUGCUUUACCAAAACACUCAACAGGGCCAAACAGGCUGUAAAUGGGCAAAAGAAACCUUCAGAUCGAGAAUUAUUUCUGAUCAAUUGGAGAAGCAAUAUACAACAAUCCAGUAGAAUCAGAAGCACCAAAUUCGAGCUUCUGCCUUUGAGGCUCAAAACCUUACUUUUUGCUUUUCGCCUUUCCUGUACCAAACACUCUACUGCAAAACUGCUGCUUCUAAAAGCAGAAGCAGAAGCAGAGUCGAACAAGCCCAAAACGGGCAAAGAAACCCAAAGAAUGAGAAUACAUGUAUGGAGAGAUCUAGGGUUUUGAGGGUUCCAUCCGCACCGUGAGCUGGAAGAGGUCGUGGGGGCAGAGCCCGGCCAAGAAGAGGCGGCACACGUCGCGGUCAUAGUACUUCCGAUUCACCUCCGCGACGUCGCCGUUCCGGUUGGCCCCCAUGAGGGCGUCGAGCUGCUUCCUAAUGGCGUCCAUGGCUCGCUAGGGUUAGGGCAAGGUCUAGGGUUAGGGUUUGGGGUUUCCCCGCAGAGAGCGCUCGCUCGAAGACGACGCCACACGAAGCUCCCGUAUAUUUAUAGGGCUAAAAUGUGCAAAGAACCCCUGAAUUUUAUCAUUUAUGUAAAAAGAUUCCUGAACUUUUUGAUUUUGGUAAUUAGACUCUUAUGUAUAUAAUAUGUAAACUUAUUAGCUAUGAAGUAGUUUUGGCCUUAUCUAUUAAACUAUAUGAAUUUCCAAUAAUUUUUACCACUUGACAAAUUGUCCUUCACCCUCACCUGCCCCUCUUUUAAAUUGAACCACCCUUUUCUCUCAAACCGAACCAAACCGAACCAUUCGUUCCCCCCUUACCUAACCCUUCUUUGAAUCAAUAAAUCAAACUGCCCAUUCCUAGCCUCUCUAUUUUUUGUGAACCAAACCACGCCAAUGAACCAAACUGAACCAAACUGCCCAUCUCCCCCUCAUAAAUCAAAUGAAUUGAACCGAACCCAUUUGACUCUUCUCUGAACCAAAGAAUUGAAUCGUCCCUUUCUCUUCUUCGUUUUUUCACACGAAAGGGAGCGUUUUGACGUUUCCUAUCUCCUCUCCGUUGGAGCGUUUUCUCUCCUCUCUUCCAGCGUCGUUCCCUCUCCUCUCUCCGUUUCAUAUGGCCUCUCCCUUCUCCGCCGCAUCAUUCUUCUACCCUAAUCUGUUACAUAUAUAGAUGCUCGAUCCGUUUUUGAUCAAUUCCUCUACCUUCCAUGCCCAUUUGUCUAUCCCACUUAAGCUGUUACAUCCCUCCUCCUCACUGCUAUGCAUUUGCCUAUAUAAUCCAUCUAUGCAAUCCAAAAUUAAACACUGUACGUACAACGACAGUAAGGAAUGGGUAUAUUCCUCUUGCUUAGCUUCAUCUUACCUAAUAUAUUGAAAUUUUUUUUCUUACAUAACAAUGCUUUUGUCUUUGCCUUAGGAAACCGAUGGCUUUUUCGUGUGGCAGUCAUUCUAUUUUCUGCUCCUUUGUUACCUCUAUGCUUAACCUGUAAGACCUCCUGUAACUAUUUCUUAUUUCUAGAAUGAUUGGUAAUUAAACUUCACUAAUAUGCUUAAGGUUACGGUGUUUUUCACUAAGUACAUCAUUUUCCACAUUUUGCCUUAUCCUGAAACAAGGAAAAGAAACAAAUUUAUCAAUUCUCUUGUACAAAUUCAUGACGUUGUUAUCUUUAUUAAAUUAUAAAAAAAAUAGAAACAGGGAAGAGCUUAUUCUUUUCAAGUGUUAAUACUGGUCUGACUGCAUCAAAGACAAAUUUUAGAGCCAUUCGAGGUUUACAUGUGUUAUUCAGAACUAUAUUGCAAAAAUUAAGGUAAAGAGAAAACUAAAAUACAGUUCAACAUGAAAGAGUGUUGUUGUUAGAUUUUGCCUUGCAAGGGUAAAAAACGUUAGCAAAAAAUACUAUUUCUUAUGGUAGAUUGAUAUUGUUCGAUUCCAAAUUCUUAUCCCAACCCUUGAAAUUUUCUUUCACUCACCCUUUUUUUCUGAGUGAUGCAUCAUACUUUCUCUCACCUUCCAUUUGAUUGCAGCCAAAUGUCAACAAUAACAGGCACCACCAUUGCACAAGAGGAUGUAACCAAAUCAUGGAAGUUAUUGCAUGUUGGGGCUCACCUUCUUUAAAGCCAAUCAUAACAAAGAGGAUGCUGCAAUGAUUGUUAUCGGGAGGCUUCGCAAUGAGCUAGACUUAGAAGUUAAGGACACCAAUUAGGAAGAAAGAAAUAUUUAAGAGGUUUAGACAAUCAGAUUUGUUGGAACAUGAAGAGUUUUGCGAUGAAUACGAGAUGCUUAAGUUGGAUUACGACCUUCUCAGAAGGUUCUAUAAUUCUUUGGUCGCAAAAAGGGACCAAUUUGUUGCCGACUUGGAAGAAAUGAAGAAAAAAUAUUGAUAAAUGUUUUGAAAUAAUUCAUCGACCCAACAUUGUUCCAAUGGAUGAGGAAUCGGUGACAAAUCCCGAUGAACAUGUGAUGGUGCCUUCUCUUAGGCAUUCUCCUACAGUAGGUGGUCCAGAACUCACCACACUUCUAACUACAAACCUAAAAUUUUCCUUAUUUCUUCCUUGUUUUUCUCUUGUUUUGUUUCGUCCUUCUUUGUUUCCCCAUCUUUUCCCUAUUUUUGGGAUUUUCCUUCUGUUUGCGUCGGGAACUGGCUAAGUUUUGUGUGAUCUAUGUCUUCACCUUUCUUUCGAUAUAAGAGUUGAUUGUUGUUUGCAUCUUCUUAAUAUUGUCUUCUCUUUGUUUUUCAUUGCUAACUUAGAUGUUUUCAUGCUGAAUAAAAAAAGUAUGCAAAAAAAAGAGUGCAAAUUUCUAUGAGUUCACCAUAAUUUGCAUUCAAUCUGGAUAGAACUUACAUUGCUACAUUCGGAUUACAAUGAUGCGAUGGAAGUGGAGAAGGAAAAAAGAAAAGAAACAGUGAAGUGGAAAAGGAAAAAAGAAAAAGAAGAUUUAGAAAAAAAGUUCAAAAAAAAAAUUUCACGCUGAAAAAAUUAAAAAAAAAGCAAAAUAGAAACACUAUACACAUGUUAAACACCUUAGAAACAGAAAAGUACAGUAGUCGAGUGUAAGAAGAAGUAGCACGAGAGAUUAUUCCAAGAUAACAAAUUUGAUUAAGGGGACUUAACUUAUUUGUUAUAUUUGUUAGUCAAGACCUUCUUCUAUACUUCAAUAUUUUAUAAGUUUGAAUUUAUUAUAAUUAUAGUGGUUGAUCAAUAGGUGUACUAGGACAUAUCAAUGAAUAUCAAUGAUUCUCUUUAAUGGGAUUGUAAAUAUCAAUGAUUCUAUUUAAUUGGGAUUGUAGUUUGUUUGUGGUUUUUAAAGGCCUUUUUACGGACUAUCAUAACUUCUUAUAUAAUAAUCUUUAAGUUAACCAACUAAAGUUAUCAAUAUCUAACAACAUUAAGUAGUCUAAAUCUCAUGCUUUGCCGUUUCUUGCUCUUGCUCUCUCUCUAUUUUCUUUUCUUCUUCUUGGCAUUUUUCUGCUACUAAUCAUUGUGCUAUAACUACUGUUGUUUCUUUUCCCUAUGUUGCUGCUGAUGCUGUUGUUGAUGCUGCUGCUAAUGGUGAUGCUGCGAAUGCUGAUGCUACUUAUGCCACUACUUUUUUGCUGAUGUUGUUGCCCUCAAUUACUGGGCAUUUUGUAAUUGACCCCCAAUCAUUAUUUUUUGUUGACACCCAUAAAUUCCUAAAUUGAUUUGAAGAUUUACUGAAAUUAACAGCACCACCAUCAUCAUUAGCAACAGCAGCACCAUCAGCGUCAGCAGCUACACUAUCAUCAUCAGCAACAACAGCAGCAGCAGCAACCAAUUCUUGGAAAAGAGUUUGCAUUAGUCGAACGCCACACACACACACACACACACACACACUCUCUCUCUCUCUCAUAACCACAAUUGACCAAAUAACCAAACUCAAAAUAAAAAAAAAUACAAACUUUCUAAAAAUAAUCUAAAAGUGCAAAUUUGGAGGUCUAAGAAAUUGAAUUUGGGUUCCAAACUUAAUUAGGCGGAACUGCUUUAUUGUUUAACGCAUAAAUCUCAAAAAGUCAUUUCUAAAUUGAGGUUGCACGCUGAAAGCGAACACCCAAACGAAAAGCCUUAUUUACGAAGGUUGAAAAAGUGGAAGUACAGGGGAAUCUCUGGUUUGAUUACCUCAAUAUCCACUCACACAUUGGCAAGAAAAUUUCACUGUAGGUAGAUAUAUAGUCUAUUGUGAAUGAUUGCAUAUAUUAUUAUAUGUUUGUGUACUCAAGAGUAAGAUUUGCUAAUUAUAUAUCUUAUAUAUUAUGCAAAAAGAUUUUUCCUAUUGGGUUGAUUAAUAUAUGAUUGUCUAUAUUGUAGUCUUUAUUUGGUCACAAAUGUUUCGACCUCAAUAUACCAGAAGUUUAUAAUUCUUGAUACUUAUUGUUGGCCUACUAAUAGUUGAUAUUUUAUUAUUUAUAAAUUUUUACUUCAAUAGUAUCUACCCGCUGCAACGCGCGGGUAUCAACACUAGUAUAAUAUAUUUCUCAUAUGCUAAAAUAUGCAAAAGGUAACAAAAAUCGAAGAUAAAUUUAUCUCAUACACCUAUUUUAAUACUUAAUUAUUAUUAUAACUAAAAGAGAAGGAAUAGUAUUUUUUUUGUGUUUUAAAGUUUUAUAAAAUAAAAGUUAUGUGUCAAAUAUGUCAAUAAAAUGAUUAUUUAAUUAGUAACUUUACUUGAAAAAAAUAGUUUAUAUUGAAAUAAAUUUAGAAGGACCCAUGGCGAACAUUUAAAAAUACUAGAAGUUUGUUUAUAAAAGAAUUAAAUCACAUUGCAAAUUUGGUUGAAAUAAUUUAUAAACUUGAGGCAUAAACUGCAAUAAUUUAAAGUUUUGGGGGCAAAGUGUCUAUAUUUUUAAAAUUCAUAUUUUGCCUUUCUAAGAUUUAAAAUUAUAUUACUUAUCCGUACAUAAUUAUUAUUUUAUUGUCGUCUUGUACGUAUAUUAUAUUGUACAAUUGGAUAGGUAUAAAAAUUCUUAUAUAUUCCCAUCGUAUACACAGUAUAAUAAAAUAAUAAGGGUGUGUUUGUUCGCUUUUUUUUUACCAUGGAAUCGGAAUCGAAAUGGAUAAAUCCGUUUGUGGAUAUUUGGUACGCGGGAGUUCCAUUCCGAUUCCGAUUUUCGAGUGGAAUGGGAAUCCCCCAAUCACCUCUUUUUUCAAUCCGGCUUAGGAGGCCGAAUUGAAAGUUGAAUCCGGACGGAAUGGAUAUUUAUUCGGACGAAAUUUAUUUUUUCAACUUUUUUAAUUAAAAUAUGAGUUAAAAUUUUAAAAUUAAAUAUAUAAUUUUAAAUUUUAAUUUAAACUUAAAUUAAAAAUUAAAAAUUUAAUCAAGUAUUUCGAAUCUAACUUAUGAAUUUGAAUUUAAAUUAAAUUUUAAUUUAUAUAAAAUGUUAUUCAAAUUUUAUUUCAAACUUAAAUUAAAUUUAUGUAUUCAAAUUAAAAUUUAAAUUGUAAUUUUAAAUUUGAAUUUGAAUAAAUCAAAAUUUAGUUUCAUAUUUUAAAUUAUCCACUCAACUUCAAAGUUUAAUUUUUUUUUAAAAAUAGAUUUAAAAUUGUGACAUAUUUUAAAAAUUUUGAUGUAAUAAAUAUUUAAUUUUAUUUGAAUUUAAAUAAUAUUAUUUAAGAUAAUAUAAUUUUAUAAUAUUAAUUUGAAUUCAUUUUUUUAUCUACUGAACAAACACGACAUGAUGAUUUAUUCUUGAUUCAUUCCAGCUAUUUGCAUUCGUAUUCAUGUCGAUUCUCGACUUCGAAACCAACGGCCCUAAAUGUGUUGGUUGAAUGCCAAUUUCAAAUUUAAAAGGAAAUUAUUUCUUUAAAUUUAAAAAAUUUGAAAGGUAUAAUACAAAAACGCAAUAUAUAUAUAUAUAUAUAUAUAUAUAUAUAUAUAAGUAAAAAUAUUAUCUACAUUUUAGCUUUUAUAUUUAUUUAUUUAUUUACUUGUUUAUUUGUUUUUCACUCUCUUGCAAUAAUCGGAUUAGUAGUACCCGAAACAAACUAGUGAUCAAACUCGUUGCCGAAUUCAUAUAAAUCCUCAACAAACUAUUCGGUAAACCACCUUAAAACUAACCGCUAAAUACGUGCCGAGCUCAUAUGUAACAUAAUCCUCGACAAACAAGUUGCCGAUUUUAUACAAAUCGCCUACGAACAAUACGGUAUUUGAGGUGCCGGAUUCGCAUAAAUCCUCACUCCUCACUUCGAUCGCAUAAAACUCUCCUCGCAUCCCCCGCCUCCUCCCCUCCUCGACCCAAUCGCGCUUUAGUUAGAGAGAGAGAGAGAGAGAGAGAGAGCGCGAAGCUGAUCGUAGAGAGAGAAGAUGCUGUUUCUCGUCGUCUUCGUCCUGCUCCUCGCCGCGGCAUCAACCCUAAUCUACAAAUUCGCCGCCGCCGAUGGUGAGAGAUCCUCGCAAUUCCCCUUCUUCAACCUUUAAUUUGGUUCGAUUAAUGUAGAGAAAGGUGCAGUUUUUACGAUUGUUGUAUUGUUCUUUGGGGGCCGCGAGUAGGGGACUUCACGCUGCUGUCGAAGGGGCCGGCGAAGCGCGAGGAGGUCGAGGGCAAGGUGAGGAGAUCGAACUCGAACUAAUGAUCCUAGCUUUGUUUAGGUUUUUGGUGAUUUGGAAGUAGGGAUUUGUAUGCGGAUUUUUUUGAUCGGUGUGUGAUGCUUGUAGGUUGUGUGGAUCACUGGGGCAAGCCGUGGAAUCGGUGAGCAACUUGUUUUGUUUAUACAUUCGAUUCAUCGAGGGAUGAGUGUCCCAUAUUUUGAACAAUUUAGUGGAGAUUAUAGCUUAACUGUUUCAUUUAUGAACUUGUUUUUCGUUCAUAUUUGCAUUUUGUAGUAAUAGCUUAAUCAUUUAGAUGGUAGCACAGAGGAUAUAAAUGAUCUUAGUGUCUUAAUUGCCCGCCUGCAUAAAUAAGUUUUGGGCUUAUUUAAGAGGUAAAGUGUAGGGUGAGAUCGAUGCAAUUUUUUAUGCAGGGAUAGUUGAGACACAGGCUACUGUGAGACGUUUUGUUGUAAUUUACCCUUAAUUUCCAGAAAACUUUUUAUUUGCUUUGUAAAACAUAGCUGAGAUUGAUAGGAAAAAGAAAAUUGCUAAACAGCUAGGAGAAUCAUGACUCUAAGCAGGUUACUGAUGGAACCCUAACAUUUCAAUGAAAGAAACUGCAGGCAGAAGUUACUAGUUCAUAUCCCUGAAUUCUACCUUGUAGGUAGCAAUAUGAAAAAAAGAUUUUGGUAUGCUGUGAUCAGUUAUGUAAGUUUUUGGAUCUAGGCAUCAGCAGAACUAAAAUGCUUGUUGAAUUCUAUCCAUGAAAGUCGGACACCCAUUUUUAGAAUAAUUUCUAAUGUUUUGCUAAAUUUUUGGGAUCUAAAUGACGUUUUUCAUAACUUCUGAAUAAUGCUUAUUUCAUUUUGUUAGGAGAAAUUCUUGCAAAACAGUUUGUUGGUUUGGGAGCAAAGGUGAUACUUUCUGCUCGUAACAAGGCAGAGCUUGAGCGAGUAAAAAGUGAACUUAUCAGUGAGUAUCAUUCUUAAGAAACGGCUACUGGCCUACUUCUGAAAUCCACGAUAAUCGUCACAAAAAACAGUUAACUUUAAGAAUGUUUUCCUUUUUUGAGUAUUGAAACCAAACUCAUUCUCGUGGUUUCCCACAUUAUUUCUUGUUAAAAGGUAAACACCCAACUAAUCAAGUUGAAGUCUUACCUUUGGACUUGGCAUCUGGUGAAGAAUCUUUAAAAGAAGCUGUAGAGGUUGCAGAAUCCCUGUUUUCCGGUGCCGGCGUCGAUUAUAUGAUCCAUAAUGCAGCCUUUGAACGUCCGGUAAUUUAUCUUGGAAAUGAAGCUUUUUACAAAAAUACUGUUUGUCUUAAGUUGGGGGAGUCAUCCAAUUCAUGGGGGAACUUAGUUUUCAACUCCGAAAAAAAUAAAAAUAAAAAUAAAAAUAACGAGAGGCAUAUUUGUGAUCUGCAAUGUGAGAAAUUAAGCUUCAAAUGGCUCAUGUGCAGUGAUAUAUACCUAAAUAGAUAGUUUAUUACGGGGUAUGUAUAUGUAUAUAUCUUUGAUUUAUUAGUUAAAACUAAUCCCUGCUUUAAUGAACAAGUACGGUAAUUUAUUAACCUUUAGCUAGUUUGAAUUUCUUAUUGCAGAAACGAAAAGCUUUGGAAGAAACUGAGGAAGGCCUUCGGGUAAGUCGUACCGUUUUCCUUUCUAUUGUUUUCUAAUUGACAAAUUUCCCUGGAAUGUAAUAUCCUAAUUUCCACUUUGAAAGGCUACUUUCAACAUAAAUGUCCUGGGUACCAUUGCUCUUACUCGGCUUCUCGCACCUUCAAUGCUGAAAAGAGGAAGAGGACAUUUUGUUGUGGUAUGAUGAAGAAAAUCUUUCUGCUUUUUUUUCAAUAUUAAAUUUAGGACCCAUCUUGUACAAUAUCCCACUUUGUUGUUGAUCACAUUAUAAUGCAGAUGAGUAGUGCAGCUGGAAAGUGUCCCGCACCGGGUCAGGCCUUGUACUCUGCUUCCAAGCAUGCUCUAAAUGGAUAUUUUCAUACUCUGCGUUCUGAGGUACAAUCUUAUUUUUGGUGAUGUUUAGACUACAUCUCUUGACCUUAGAAUUUUCUCUUGGAGAUAAUUUCCUUGAUAUAAACCAGAGAUAUUUGAAACACAUCAUUUUCUUAACCACUUGCUUUUGGUGUUCCUGUUUAGUUGCAAUAUUAUUUUUGUUGCCUCCAUUUGAUUCUUUAUUCAUUCCUUUACUAUUAGAACUGCACUUAAAAAAGAUUGAAAGUUAGGAUUAGUUACUGCUGACCAACCUUAUCCUUCUGUUCUUUUCUUGACUGCAGCUAUGUCAGAAAGGCAUUAAAGUAACUGUUGUUUGUCCUGGGCCAAUAGAAACAUCAAAAGUUACUGGAGAAAGCUCAUCUACACAAAGUGGUUCUUCGGAGGUUGACUUUUUAUGUCCUUAACUUCAGACAUUUGAAGAGCAUUUUGAUGAAAGCUAAUUAUCAUCACAAUUUGAAAAGAAAGGAAUGAUAACUCGCCUUCACUUACUGUAUAAUUUUUAAUCAGGUUUAAUCAUUAAUCUAAUCCUGACGCACAAUAAUCAAAUUGACCUAGCUUAUAUGGAGUAAAUUCCUGGUCCAUGUUGUUUUGGGUGGUCAAUUAUAGGGAUCAGAACAAAGCUGUCUUGCUUAUUUAGUUUCCUUUUCUUAAGUUUGCUAAAUAAGGGGUUCAUGAGGGGGUAGACUGCUCUACUCGUUCGCUUUCAUAUGGUAAAAUGUACGAGUACUACCUGAAUUUUAAAAAGGAUUCAUUUUGUACUGAAAUUUUCAAUUUUUCUGGUUUCAGAACCUUCCGUUAUGUCAGAAGUACUCGGCGAUUUUUGACAAAAAAGUGAUAAAAUACUCUAUUACGUAAUAAUAUUUCUGUCAGAAGUACUUUCUGUCAGAAGGAAAACUGUAUUGCAACAAAAUCCGAGAGAAGUGCUAUGAGACCACUUUGCUGAGAAAGGCUGUCCCUGCUUUCUUAACGUCACACCUUGCCUAAUCGAUCUAGUUCACAAUUGUUAACUGCCCAUUGUCAGAAUAUGAAUAAACCCUCCUAUGUGAUUUAGCUUGAUUUUACACUUCCCCCUGGUUUGGACUGUGAGUUUUUACUGUUCCUGUUGGCAGUUAGACACUUCGGUUGUGUACCUUGUGGCUCGUUGAAAAUUUUAUGAAUAACAGCACUUGCACAAAACUUGUUAUCUUGAGAGCUGUUUAUAGAGUUGGCGAGUUAUAUACUGGCUACAUGGUCUGUUGUAAGCUGGAGUUCGUAACUGCUAUCUGGUACAGUAAUUAAAGGCAGUAAAGUGUUACAAUCCAAGUCAUGGGUUAAUAAAAUAAACUUAAUAUAAACCUUCCCUUCUCAUAAAAAUCCUUGGAACUUGCCAUAACUUGAUGUUUGUUUAUGCCAAUAUUCUAUAGUACUCUAAUAGCUAAAUUUUUCGAGUAAAAUUUUUAUUCUUUGUUAUCUCAUAUUGCUUAACAGAAGCGUGUGUCAUCAGAAAGAUGUGCUGAACUAACAAUUAUUGCUGCUACGCAUGGACUAAAGGAAGCAUGGAUAUCAUAUCAGGUUGUUCUUUUUAUAUAUUUGUCUUUUUACUGCUAGUUUAAUGACUUUCUCUAUUUUAACUUCAAUUUGUACUCGGUAGCCUCCUUCUAAAGAAAGAUAGAAGGUUCAUCAGUGUUAGUUGCUUACUGAUAUUAGUUGCUUGGGUUUUCCUCCGAAGAGGCAAAUACGAUCAAAUUUCUUCUAACAAUCAUUGUGUUUUUUCUUGCAGCCUGUUUUGCUUGUUAUGUAUCUGGUACAAUACAUGCCAACAAUUGGCUACUGGUUUAUGGAUAAGGUACUUGCUUCUGCUUAGCUAACUUCAAAAGGAUUGUCAUCAAUAGACGAUCAUUUCUGCAAAGCAUCAACUGCCAUUAUAAAAUAUUCUUUUAUGCGAAAUAUUGGAACUAGCUUCAUCCCUCUUCAUAUUAUAGAUGAUUUUUGCAUUUUAUCUUUUCAUUAAUUAAUUGUUUCUUCUUUUGGGACUUACUUGGCAGUUUUGCCAAUUGUGAAAACAAAAGAAAUAAUCUAAAGCACUUCUAAUUUCUCCACAAAUUCCUUGAUUAGUUGGCAAAAUAUCAUAUUUAAGAUGUCUCAAUCUUGUUUUCCCCAAUUCCGUACUUUUUUAUAA
rnacentral:lncRNA from 1 species